GGAGUUUAUGUCAAACCAGGAAAAAGCUGUUAUUAAAACGGUUGUUUGCAGCUUCAGUUUGGCCCCAACAGACUUUUGCAUUCAGCGGCUGUAUCAAAAGGGUCAGGCCUUCAUGAUUGUUCUACACAUCAAACAGCAUCAGAUCACAGUCAGGAGGAACCAUCAAACCCAGAUAGCUGCAAAUCCAAGAGUAAAAACAAUUCUUGUUUUAUGUCGGCAUCCAAGAGAAACAGACCUGUCAGUGUGCCAGUGGGUCAGCCGAGAGCAUCAGAGUCCUCUCUAAAUCUGAAGUCACCCCACAAUUGCCAAGUGGGAUAUAAAUUUCAACGAAGAGUCAUUAGAGUGACGGCUUACAAAAAUGGAUCUGGAACAACCUUCGCCAAAAUUACUGCACCAACCAUCGCCUUGUUGCUGGAAGCGUGCACACACAAGCUGAAUCUGAACAUGGCCGCACGACGAGUGUUCUUGGCAGACGGCUCAGAAGCCUUCAAACCUGAAGAUAUACCCCAUGAAGCCAAUGUUUAUAUUUCAACAGGAGAGCCCUUUUUAGAUCCAUUCAAAAAACUUAAAGACCAUCUGCUGUUAACGAAGAAAGUGACUUGGACAAUGCAUGGGUUGAUGCUUCCCACUGAUGUCAAAAGACAGAAAACUAAGCCGGCACUUUCCCGAAGGAUGAAGACACUUGCUCAGAAGACUGCAGUACGAAUUCUAGUCUUUAAGAAUGGCAUGGGGCAGGAUGGGCAUGAGAUUACAGUGGGAAAGGAAACAAUGAGGAAGGUUUUAGAUGUCUGCACAAUGAAAAUGAAUCUAGAUUCACCUGCCAGAUAUAUUUAUGAUAUGAGUGGUAGAAAAGUUGAAGAUAUUUCAAAAGUUCCUGUGCUUGAAAAAUGCCUGCAAGAUUCCAUCACACCUUUGCGGGGACCACUUUGGGUCUCUAAGGGAGAAGGUUUCAGUCCCUCGGGUGCUAAGAUGUACAUCCAAGGAGUUCUUGGGGCCUUAUAUCCACGACUAAAGUCUGCAAAAAAUUAUUACAAGCAGUUGGACUUAGUCCUGAAUGAACAGAAAGCCAAGAUCACAGCAAAGGCCAUUCUUUCCAUGACACCAGAGGAAUACCAGAAGUCACGAGAAGAUAAAGAUCUUCCAGAUUUCUCUCAUUGGGGUCCAUUGUCAUGUGGUGAGCAUGCUGAUUGA
rnacentral:lncRNA from 1 species